rnacentral:lncRNA from 1 species
GUGUGAAUUAGAGCUGGCUUCAUUGUUUGGAAAGAUGUCAUGGUACCUGUCCAGUAUUAACGUUUGAAUGAGGUGUGAGAAUAUAAGUAUCUCUUGCACACUCCUGUGCGUGCACAAGCCAGAGUAUGCAAAGGCUGACUGGGUAGGAGGGGCUGUUAGUGAACGGCUGAAGAAAGACAUCACUUGCCGGACAGCCAGAGGGAUACAUCUACAUGGGGAUAAUACUUAACCCAGAGAGCAUUUGUCCAGCCCAUUUUCCAAAUUGGAAAGUUUCACAAAAGAGGCAGAGAUAAGGACAGGAGAGUGUAUCUACCCAGAGACAUUCUAAAUGACACAAAGUAACAAGUAGGACUUUGGGUGCAGCUCAGGGUAGAACUUGCCUAGUAUGCAUGAGGUCUUAGCUUCAAUCUCCAGGACGGCAAAAAAUGGUGUGGUGGUGCAUCCCAGCACUCAGGAGGUAGAGGCAAGAAGAUGAGCUCAAAGCUAUCCUGAGCUAUAUUGUGAGGGUAGCCUAGGCUACAUGAGUUUCUGUCUUAAAAACAACAAAAUCCUAGAAAAUAGUAAGUUGAAAUAAGACUGAAAAACAUCAAUGUAGAUAGAUUCCAGAGUUCUGUGGGUUUAUAUGAGAUGUUUAUAUUCUACGUUUUAUGGUUUAUAAAAAUAAUUAUUGAAAACCAAGUUUGGUCAGGGCUGGGGAUGUCUUGUUGGUUAAGAACAUCUCGUUCUUGGAUCUCGUUCCCAGCACACACAUCAGGCAGCUCACACAGCUGCUGGCAACUCCAGCUCUAGGUGAUCUGAGAACUGUCCUCCCCAAUAAGAAAGAAAUAAAAAAGAAAAGAAAACCAAGCUUGGUGGCAUUGGUGGCACAGGCCUCUGAUUUCAGCAUUGGGAAGGCAGAGGCAGGAAGAACACACUGAAGGAUAGCCUGGGCUACGAAGCAAGUAAAAGGCCAGCCUGGGAAACUUAGCAGACCCUUUCUCAAAGUUUACUGAGUACAGUAAGGAGACACA